rnacentral:rRNA from 1 species
UACGUAGGGGGCAAGCGUUGUCCGGAAUCAUUGGGCGUAAGCGCGUGUAGGCGGCCCGAUAAGUCCGCUGUGAAAGUCCAGGGCUCAACCCUGGGAUGCCGGUGGAUACUGUCGGGCUCGAGUCCGGAAGAGGCGAGUGGAAUCCUGGUGUAGCGGUGAAAUGCGCAGAUAUCAGGAGGAACACCAAUGGCGAAGGCAGCUCGCUGGGACGUGACUGACGCUGAGACGCGAAAGCGUGGGAGCAAACAGG